AGAGUUUGAUCCUGGCUCAGGAUGAACGCUAGCUACAGGCUUAACACAUGCAAGUCGCGGGGCAGCAUGAAGGAUGCUUGCAUCCUUUGAUGGCGACCGGCGCACGGGUGAGUAACGCGUAUCCAACCUGCCUGUUACCACGGCACAGCCCGUCGAAAGGCGGAUUAAUGCCGUAUGUGGUCCUUUGCGGGCAUCUAAUUAGGACUAAAGGUUCAGCGGUAACGGAUGGGGAUGCGUCCGAUUAGCUAGACGGCGGGGUAACGGCCCACCGUGGCUACGAUCGGUAGGGGUUCUGAGAGGAAGGUCCCCCACACUGGAACUGAGACACGGUCCAGACUCCUACGGGAGGCAGCAGUGAGGAAUAUUGGUCAAUGGGCGUAAGCCUGAACCAGCCAAGUAGCGUGAGGGAAGACUGCCCUAUGGGUUGUAAACCUCUUUUGUGCGGGGAUAAAGUGUGGGACGUGUCCCAUAUUGCAGGUACCGCACGAAUAAGGACCGGCUAAUUCCGUGCCAGCAGCCGCGGUAAUACGGAAGGUCCGGGCGUUAUCCGGAUUUAUUGGGUUUAAAGGGAGCGCAGGCCGUCCUUUAAGCGUGCUGUGAAAUGCCGCGGCUCAACCGUGGCACUGCAGCGCGAACUGGAGGACUUGAGUACGCACGAGGUAGGCGGAAUUCGUGGUGUAGCGGUGAAAUGCUUAGAUAUCACGAAGAACUCCGAUUGCGAAGGCAGCUUACCGGAGCGCAACUGACGCUGAGGCUCGAAAGCGCGGGUAUCGAACAGGAUUAGAUACCCUGGUAGUCCGCGCGGUAAACGAUGGAUGCCCGCCGUUGGGAUUUGGAUUUCAGCGGCCAAGCGAAAGCGUUAAGCAUCCCACCUGGGGAGUACGCCGGCAACGGUGAAACUCAAAGGAAUUGACGGGGGCCCG
rnacentral:rRNA from 1 species